rnacentral:lncRNA from 1 species
CUCGAUCGGACGCCUAACGGAUAAAAAAAAAGUUAUCCGUUGACAAAAUUUUUAUCUGUUGGGAGUCCGUUGGUUUACUAACGGACAUGUAACGAAUGCCUAACGGACACACAACGGACAUUGAACGUACGUGAAACGGAUACGUACCGGACAGAACGGACGUCGAACGUACAUCCAACGGACGAGUACCGGAUAAAACGGACACCUAACGGAAGCGUAACGGAUAAAACGGAUGAACAAAAUAAUCUGAAAAUUAAAGGCAAUAAACCAUCUAAAAAUUUAAGGCAAUAAACCAUCUGAAAAUUAAAAGCAAUAAACCAUCUGAAAUUAAAGCAAUAAACCACAUACACGUGACCUUAAAAUGAUUGUAUCUAGUACAUGUAUAUAUGUUAUAAUAUUUGCUUCUGGGAAAGUGUGGUCAGUAGGACAGGUAUCAAGGUCACACGUACCAAACAAAUAGAACAAUUUAUCCGAUUCUUUUUUACGUUUUUACACACGAGGGUCACUUUAGUUAACAGGUUUAGUUGAUUUUAUUUUGUAUUGCGUCUUGUUUAGCAUGAUAUGUGUGCAAAUAUAGAGCUACUCUGAUUAAAAAAAAUCAAGGUAGAAGCAGUGUGGUAAUUCAGUCUUAUAGAGUUUAAGUUGAUUUUCUGAAUUUGUUUAUAUUAUGUACCUCUGGUAUGAAAACGGAUAAUGUGUUAUACGGAACUCUUCAUCCGUACUGCAUGCUACGAUAUUUUGCUCCAGAAGCAAGGUGUCUAAGUGUAAUUGCUAACUUGAGUCCUGGUUCCAGUGGAUUUCUGUAAAAGGUAUUCUGCUUGGCUAUGCGAGGUCCAACUUGCAAUAUCUCGUCGAACAUCUCUGUGGGCAUUCGAAGGAAGUGUACAAAGGACUGCCGAUCCUCCCGCCUAAGUUCGGUCAUGAGUUGGUCAUAUAGACCAAAACUGCAUCGUCUUUCAGGACUAAGCCAUGGUCGUGUCCACCAUCUCCUUUGUCUUCUCCUUCUUCUCCUUUCGACAGCUAUAAGGUUUAUUUUUGCUACAUUUAAGUUGAGUCUGGCCUGAAUAAGGGCUGUUUGGUAGCGAAGACGUGCUCUUACUCCAAGAUCCAUCACGAAUAAUAAAUAUUCAUGACACUCAAGAAAAUCUGACAUACCAAUUAUUGGCAUUUCUAACGCGAAAUUUCAAUUGGCAUUUGUCCGUUUUACAUCCGGUAGGCAUCCGUUUUAUCCGUUAUCCUUCCGUUAAUGUCCGUUUCACAUCCGUUUUAUCCGUUAGGCGUCCGUUAGGCGUCCGGUAGACGUCCGUUGGUGAAUUGGUCUACCGGAUCUCCAACGGAUGCAUAACGGACACGUAACGGAUACAAAACGGACGAGUACCGUACAAAACGGACGCCUAACGGACGUUCAACGGACAUUUUAUCCGUUGGACGUCCGUUCAAAGUUUUGAACAUGCUCAAAAUUUUCCACCGGACAGAACGGACGUCAACGGAUAAAACGGACGCUUAACGGACAUGCAACGGAUAUGGACGGACGCC